rnacentral:misc_RNA from 1 species
GGAAGUAAAGGUCGUAACAAGGUUUCCGUAGGUGAACCUGCGGAAGGAUCAUUAUCGUACAAAAUGUGAGGGGCAUGCGAGGGCUGUCGCUGACCCAAAAGUCGUGCACGCCCGAGUGUGUCCUCUUGCAUAAUAAUCCAUCUCACCCUUUGUGCAUCACCGCGUGGGCACCCUUCGGGAUCAUCUCGGAGGGGGGCUCGCGUUUUCACACAAACCCCCCUUUUAAAAGUGUAGAAUGACUACAUUUAUGCAAUCAAUACAACUUUCAACAACGGAUCUCUUGGCUCUC